UACGAAGGGGCUAGCGUUGCUCGGAAUCACUGGGCGUAAAGCGCACGUAGGCGGCUUUCUAAGUCAGGGUGAAAUCCUGGAGCUCAACUCCAGAACUGCCUUUGAUACUGGAGAGCUAGAGUCCGGAAGAGGUGAGUGGAACUGCGAGUGUAGAGGUGAAAUUCGUAGAUAUUCGCAAGAACACCAGUGGCGAAGGCGGCUCACUGGUCCGGUACUGACGCUGAGGUGCGAAGCGUGGGAGCAAACAGG
rnacentral:rRNA from 1 species